ACAGGAGCAAGCACCGUCAGAAGUGGCUGAGGCUGUGAAUGAAAGCACAGUGCUCAGGGCGAACACUGUGGAAGGACUCAUCACUUCACAUUGGGCUCAUUAGCAUUUCCUCACACACAGGCAGUGACCACCAUUGUGGGGCAUCACCCUUGGAUAAGGCACAGCUGAAAUAUCGAUGCUCAGAGGGUCUGGCUCCGUCGUCCGGGCUGGAAUGCAGUGGCAUGAUGAUGGCUUACUACAGCCUCAAACCCCGAGGCUCAAGCGAUCCUCCCACUUCAGCCUUCGGAGUAGCUGGGACUACAGGCCACAUUUCCCCCUGGCCUGGUAAAUCAUUCAGGCCGUUCACUUGGACAAAGUACUUAAUCCAGAGUGAGACCAUGCAAGCAAGGACAAUUAUAAUUCUUCCCUGAAAUGAAUACAGCAUAAGGAAGUUGGAAGAGAGUAACUCUCUUUACUGUUGGGUUGCCAAGCCUGGAAGAUGUCAAGUUGGUGCUGCUGGCUGCUAUUUUUCCUGACAUCUGAGAGAAGGCAUGUCUUCAGUUAAAAAGAAGAAAGCUGAACAGAGAUGAGAGAUAGAGAGCUGAAGGACUAAGGUAUUGGUUCCUAGAACCCUCCAUUCUGUUCUGUGAAUUAUUUCUGUAUCUUUUCUUCCACUA